rnacentral:lncRNA from 1 species
AUCAAUAGAAAAGGGUGCACAAUGUAUAUCCUAAAAUCCAUGAAAAUUCCAAAAUAAAUUUGGAUAAAUUCGAUGCAAAAUUGAAAGAGUUUUGGAUUUCUAAAACUCUAUCUCAUAGAAUUCGAAAUCCAAACUUAUUCCUUUUAGAUUUGAUCCAAACCACCUUCCAUGUAAGAAAGAAGAGAGGAGACCUUUUGUGAAUGUGGGAGAGAUCUGAGAGAGGGCUUUUGUCACACAAAAUAAGUGGAGAUUGGCAUUGAAUAAGAGCGAGGGUGUGGAGAAGGCUUAUGUGGCGCAAGGUGGAAUCCUAGUCUUACUAGGAUUCUGUCUUAUGAC